rnacentral:rRNA from 1 species
UGGCGGACGGGUGAGUAACGCGUGGGUAACCUGCCUCAUACAGGGGGAUAACAGUUAGAAAUGACUGCUAAUACCGCAUAAGACCACAGCACCGCAUGGUGCAGGGGUAAAAACUCCGGUGGUAUGAGAUGGACCCGCGUCUGAUUAGGUAGUUGGUGGGGUAACGGCUACCAAGCCGACGAUCAGUAGCCGACCUGAGAGGGUGACCGGCCACAUUGGGACUGAGACACGGCCCAA